AGCGAAGGGAGAACUCGCAAUUCUCUCACAAAGCCGCCAUUAGCAGCAGAGGAUGUAGCCGGAAUACAGGUUGACCGCUCCGUAAGCCUUUGUGUAAGUCUACUUG
rnacentral:ncRNA from 1 species